rnacentral:rRNA from 1 species
AGGUGGUUACUUAUGGGCGGAUGGUGGAUGCCUUGGGACCGGGAGGCGACGAAGGACGCGGCGUUCCUGCGAUAAGCCUCGGGGAGGUGGUAAGCAACCUUUGAUCCGGGGAUUUCCAAAUGGGGAAACCUAAUGCUGUAAACCAGCAUUGACGCCGUUUUACGGCGUAGCGAUACCUGGGGAAGUAAAACAUUCUAGUACCCAGAGGAAAAGAGAAAAAAAUUAAUUCUCCUAGUAGCGGCGAGCGAACGGGGAAGAGUCUAAACUCAUUUUUGUUUUCGCAAGAAAAUGAGAGUGGGGGUUGUAAGGGGAUAACGUCCGGAGCCCCAACUCUCCAAACCUAUCAGAGGUGGAGGGUUGGUUCUCUAGAGGGGGAAUUGUCAAAGUUUGUUUAAACGAAAGACCCUGGAAAGGUCUGCCAAAGAGGGUAAUAGCCCCGUAGCUGAAAAACACUUUGUGCUCCUUGUUAUCUUUCUUAAGUACCUCGGGAAAUGAUAGCCCUGAGGGAAACAGGCUGUACUAAAAGCCAAGACUAAAUACUACCCGGUCACCGAUAGUGAACAAGUACCGUGAGGGAAAGGUGAAAAAUAGCCCGUUAAGGGCGGUGAAAUAGAAUCUGAAACCAUCGCGCUCACAAUGAGUCGGAGCUCCGAUCGCAAGAUCGCGAGUGACGGCGUGCUUUUUGCAGAACGAACCAACGAGUUUUCUAUACCACUUUAUCUAAGCCCCUUUGGGGCGGAGGUACAGUGAAAGCAAGGGUUAAUAGCCCAUCCAAAGAGUGGUGUGGAAAGACCCGAAGCCAAACGAGCUUGCCAUGGCCAGGGUGAAUCCCGAUUUUUACAUUGGGAGGAGGCCCGAACCCGUGAAUUGUGCAACAUUCUGGGAUGAGCUGUGGUAAGUAGUGAAAAGCUAAACGAGUUUGGUAAUAGCUGGUUCUCCCCGAAAUAGUUUUAGGACUAGCGUCCCCAUGAUAUUUACUUGGAGGUAGAGCACUAGAAAGGACACCGUGGCGAAAGCCAGGUUUCUUUACUAAACUCCGAAUACCGAGUAAUUUUGGGGGCAGUAAGAAUCCGGGCGCUAAGGUCCGGACUCAAAAGGGAAACAGCCUCGACCUUCAUCUAAGGCCCCUAAAUUCGAGCUAAGUGUUUUUAAGGAAGUGGAGUUUCAUUGAUAGUUAGGAGGUUAGCUUAGAAGCAGCUAUCCUUUAAAAAGUGCGUAACAGCUUACUAACUAAGAGAUUCUGCGCCAAAGAUUUACGGGACUAAGCUCGAUGCCGAAGAUAAGGCUUUUCGCAUAAUUUAUUAUGCGGAAGGGGUAGGGGAGCGUUUCUAUCGCAGUGAAGCCCUUCCGCAAGGUCAGGGUGGAGCGAUAGGAAGUGAGAAUGUUGGUAUGAGUAACCGCAAUGGCAGUGAGAUACUGCCACAUCGAAAGCCCAAGGUUUCCUUGGCAAGGAUUAUCCGCCAAGGGUUAGGCGACCCUUAGUUUCGCCCCGAAAGGGGCAAGUGAUGGACAGCCGGUUAAUAUUCCGGCCCUCCUACGUUUUUCUGAAGGGUGACGAAGUCUGGGAUUUUAGGGGGAUUAUUAGAUUUCUUUACCUUGCGCAAGCAAGGGAUCCUAAAUGAACAAGCUUCCUAGAAAAGCCCGUAGGGUUAAAGACGUGGGAAUCGUACCGCAAACUGACACCGGUGGGCUGGUGUAAAUGCACCAAGAUGAACGGGUGAAAGCUCCUGAAGGAACUAGGCAAAAAAGUAGGCGUAAGUUCGCAAUAUGCCUUGCCCCAUUCGCAAGAAUUGGGGCUGCAACAAAUGAUCUCAAGCGACUGUUUACCAAAAACACAGGUCCCUGCUAAACUCGUAAGAGGAUGUAUAGGGGCCGAGACCUGACCAGUGCUGGAAUGUUAAAAGUGCCGGUUUUUGCCGCAAGGUGAAAGCUGAGUGUUCUAAGCUUCCAGUGAACGUCCGCGGUAACUCUGACCGUGUUAAAGUAGCGUAGCCCCUUGUCGCGUAAGUUGCGACCCGCAUGAAAGGUUUAACGACUUGAGAACUGUCUCCAGGAGCCGCCCGGUGAAAACGCAAUACGCGUGAAAAUGCGCGUUACCUGUGGCUAGACGGAAAGACCCCGGGAGCUUUACUGUAGGGUGAUAUUGAAUUUAGAAUUUUGAUGCGUAGCGUAGUGGGUAGGAUUUGAGGGACCGGUUUCGGUCGGUCCUGAUCCGCCAAUGAAACACCCAUCUUCGAAAUUCUUUGUUCUAACUUCCUCGAAAGAGGGACGACAGUGUCACUUGGGCAGUUUAAGUGGGGCGCUUGCCUCCCAAAAUGUAACGGAGGCGUUUAAAGGUCGGCUACUUCCGGAUGGAAAUCGGAAGUGUCGGGUAAAGCCAAACGCCGGCUUGACUGCAAGGGGGAUAACCCGCGCAGGCACGAAAGUGGAACUUAGUGAACCGACUCUGGUUUAUAGGACCGGAGAAGAUCAUCAACCAAAAGUUACCCCGGGGAUAACAGGCUAGUAGGGCCCGCGAGUCCAUAUCAACGGCCCUGUUCGGCACCUCGAUGUCGGCUCUUCGCAUCCUGGAGGUGGAGAAGCUUCCAAGGGUUGGACUGUUCGUCCAUUAAAGCGAAACGUGAGUUGGGUUCAAACCGUCAACAAAGAACCCAGAGGAGACAUCAAAUACACGGCGGCUUUCCCGAGUAAUCGGGAUUGAAAAAAUCGACUCAUAUCGGUGAAGUCCAUUAAAUUCUUUACCUGUAAUUUAGUGGAUAAUACCGAGGGAAGUCACCCUAAAUUUAUUAAGGGGUUGACCCCGUAGAGACUUGGCCAAAAUUGGCCGGAUGGAAAUAGUUUUCCAUAAUACGUCGAUUGCCCCGAUAUCUUCGCAAGAAGAUGGAGGGGUAGUGGUAUAGUCCAAACAUUUAGUAAUAAGUGGCAAUAUGCGUGAGACAGGUUGGUCCCUAUCUACCACAGGCGUCGAGUCUUGAGGGGAUUCUGGGAUAGUACGAGAGGACCUCUCGGAACUGACCUCUGGUGUACCAGUUGUCCUGCUAAGGGCAUCGCUGGGUAGCUAAGUCAGGAACUGAUAAGUGCUGAAAGCAUCUAAGCACGAAGCAGUCCCCAAGAUUAGGACUCAAUAAGCUUGGUUGGAGACUACAACCUUAAUAGGGUCUAGGUGGAAGUCCCGCAAGGGAUUAAGCCGAGGACUACUAAUCGAGCGUCAAUACCCCUUGA